rnacentral:rRNA from 1 species
UACCUACGGGGGGCUGCAGUGGGGAAUAUUGGACAAUGGGCGAAAGCCUGAUCCAGCAAUGCCGCGUGAGUGAUGAAGGCCUUAGGGUUGUAAAGCUCUUUUACCCGGGAAGAUAAUGACUGUACCGGGAGAAUAAGCCCCGGCUAACUCCGUGCCAGCAGCCGCGGUAAUACGGAGGGGGCUAGCGUUGUUCGGAAUUACUGGGCGUAAAGCGCACGUAGGCGGCUUUGUAAGUUAGAGGUGAAAGCCUGGGGCUCAACUCCAGAAUUGCCUUUAAGACUGCAUCGCUUGAACACGGGAGAGGUGAGUGGAAUUCCGAGUGUAGAGGUGAAAUUCGUAGAUAUUCGGAAGAACACCAGUGGCGAAGGCGGCUCACUGGACCGUUGUUGACGCUGAGGUGCGAAAGCGUGGGGAGCAAACAGGAUUAGAUACCCGAGUAGUC